rnacentral:rRNA from 1 species
UACGUAGGGUGCAAGCGUUGUCCGGAAUUAUUGGGCGUAAAGAGCUCGUAGGCGGCCUGUUGCGUCCGCUGUGAAAGCCCGGGGCUUAACCCCGGGUCGGCAGUGGAUACGGGCAGGCUAGAGGUAGGUAGGGGAGAAUGGAAUUCCCGGUGUAGCGGUGAAAUACGCAGAUAUCGGGAGGAACACCGGUGGCGAAGGCGGUUCUCUGGGCCUUACCUGACGCUGAGGAGCGAAAGCGUGGGGAGCGAACAGG